CAGUGGGGAAUAUUGGACAAUGGGCGCAAGCCUGAUCCAGCCAUGCCGCGUGAGUGAUGAAGGCCCUAGGGUUGUAAAGCUCUUUUGUGCGGGAAGAUAAUGACGGUACCGCAAGAAUAAGCCCCGGCUAACUUCGUGCCAGCAGCCGCGGUAAUACGAAGGGGGCUAGCGUUGCUCGGAAUCACUGGGCGUAAAGGGUGCGUAGGCGGGUCUUUAAGUCAGGGGUGAAAUCCUGGAGCUCAACUCCAGAACUGCCUUUGAUACUGAGGAUCUUGAGUUCGGGAGAGGUGAGUGGAACUGCGAGUGUAGAGGUGAAAUUCGUAGAUAUUCGCAAGAACACCAGUGGCGAAGGCGGCUCACUGGCCCGAUACUGACGCUGAGGCACGAAAGCGUGGGGAGCAAACAGGAUUAGA
rnacentral:rRNA from 1 species